UGGGGAAUAUUGGACAAUGGGCGCAAGCCUGAUCCAGCCAUGCCGCGUGAGUGAUGAAGGCCCUAGGGUUGUAAAGCUCUUUUAACGGGGAAGAUAAUGACGGUACCCGUAGAAUAAGCCCCGGCUAACUUCGUGCCAGCAGCCGCGGUAAUACGAAGGGGGCUAGCGUUGCUCGGAAUCACUGGGCGUAAAGGGUGCGUAGGUGGAUUUUUUAAGUCAGGGGUGAAAUCCUGGAGCUCAACUCCAGAACUGCCUUUGAUACUGGGAAUCUUGAGUUCGGGAGAGGUGAGUGGAACUGCGAGUGUAGAGGUGAAAUUCGUAGAUAUUCGCAAGAACACCAGUGGCGAAGGCGGCUCACUGGCCC
rnacentral:rRNA from 1 species